rnacentral:piRNA from 1 species
UGAUUGGAUUUGAAGCCUGCUCCACAGUA